rnacentral:tRNA from 1 species
GGAGUUAUAGUCAACCAUGAUAUUUGAUUUGCACUCAAAAGGUGCUCUACUUAGAGCUAACUUCA